AACGAACGCUGGCGGCAUGCCUAACACAUGCAAGUCGAACGAGACCUUCGGGUCUAGUGGCGCACGGGUGCGUAACGCGUGGGAACCUGCCCUUAGGUUCGGAAUAACUCCCCGAAAGGGGUGCUAAUACCGGAUAAUGUCUUCGGACCAAAGAUUUAUCGCCUUUGGAUGGGCCCGCGUUGGAUUAGCUAGUUGGUAGGGUAAAAGCCUACCAAGGCGACGAUCCAUAGCUGGUCUGAGAGGAUGAUCAGCCACACUGGGACUGAGACACGGCCCAGACGCCUACGGGAGGCAGCAGUGGGGAAUAUUGGACAAUGGGCGAAAGCCUGAUCCAGCAAUGCCGCGUGAGUGAUGAAGGCCUUAGGGUUGUAAAGCUCUUGUACCCGGGAUGAUAAUGACAGUACCGGGAGAAUAAGCGCCGGCUAACUCCGUG
rnacentral:rRNA from 1 species